rnacentral:sRNA from 1 species
CGUGCAAUCGAGAUUAAGAAUCAUACGUUGCUGAAUGGAAAAAUGAUGAGAGUGAUGUGGUCGCGUCGCGAUCCUGAUGCGAGGAAGAGCACUAUUGGGAACUUGUUUAUUAAGAACAUACCGGAAUCGAUAGAUAAUUCUGGACUGCAAGAUAUAUUCAAGAAAUAUGGAAAUAUUUUGUCCAGCAAAGUUGUCACGUCUGACGAUGGGAAGAGUAAAGGAUACGGUUUUGUUCAAUUUGAAUCGGAGGAAUCCUCUCAUGUUGCUAUAGAGAAGCUGAAUGGCUCUACUGUUGGUGAUAAACAGUUAUAUGUCGGGAAGUUUGUAAAAAAAAGUGAUCGCAUUU